AUUGAACGCUGGCGGCAGGCUUAACACAUGCAAGUCGAGCGGAGAUGAGGUGCUUGCACCUUAUCUUAGCGGCGGACGGGUGAGUAAUGCUUAGGAAUCUGCCUAUUAGUGGGGACAACAUUCCGAAAGGAAUGCUAAUACCGCAUACGUCCUACGGGAGAAAGCAGGGGAUCUUCGGACCUUGCGCUAAUAGAUGAGCCUAAGUCGGAUUAGCUAGUUGGUUGGGUAAAGGCCUACCAAGGCGACGAUCUGUAGCGGGUCUGAGAGGAUGAUCCGCCACACUGGGACUGAAACACGGCCCAUACUCCUACGGGAGGCAGCAGUGGGGAAUAUUGGACAAUGGGGGGAACCCUGAUCCACCCAUGCCGCGUGUGUGAAGAAGGCCUUAUGGUUGUAAAGUACUUUAAGCGAGGAGGAGGCUACUGAGACUAAUACUCUUGGAUAGUGGACGUUACUCGCAAAAUAAGCACCGGCUAACUCUGUGCCAGCAGCCGCGGUAAUACAGAGGGUGCGAGCGUUAAUCGGAUUUACUGG
rnacentral:rRNA from 1 species